rnacentral:rRNA from 1 species
UACGUAGGUCCCGAGCGUUGUCCGGAUUUAUUGGGCGUAAAGCGAGCGCAGGUGGUUUAAUAAGUCUGAUGUAAAAGGCAGUGGCUCAACCAUUGUGUGCAUUGGAAACUGUUAGACUUGAGUGCAGUAGAGGAGAGUGGAAUUCCAUGUGUAGCGGUGAAAUGCGUAGAUAUAUGGAGGAAGGCCGGUGGCGAAGGCGGCCUCCUGGGCCUGCACUGACGCUGAGGCGCGAAAGCGUGGGGAGCAAACAGG